rnacentral:misc_RNA from 1 species
GAAAAAAAAAAAAAAAAAGAAUCAGGAAACUUGUAGAAUAAGGCUUUUCAAUAGUUAAGAAGCAUCUAAAGUAAAAUCAGCAGCAUAUUAAGGGAUUUAGUUGAACAGACAAAAAAUGCACCAAAAUAAUCUACUAGGCUUGCAAAUCUCAGGGUAGUUAACUUUGUGAAGUGCAGGGAUCUACAAUCCUGACACCUGCUAGACCAUUAAUUUAAUUCCUCUGACAUUUUCUUUACCAGCUUAUCAGGGAAUUUUCAUUAGCUCAUAAGCUGGGAAACACCACAAUUUACUACUAUGUGCACUGACCUCAUCAAAGAAUUGUCCUUUAGUUCAUACACAGGGAAAGUUUACCAAUUAACACAAAUUGUCUAUGAUUGUCUGAUUCUGUUGCUUAUUUAAUCUCAGAAGUAAUACUUUAAUAUGGUUGAUAAUAGAACUUACUGGUUGCAAUAUAAUUAUAGCUAAUUAUUAACUCCUUCACCAAUAUGUAUUGCUGUAAAUAACAAAUAUAUCCAAUCAGAUAAGCGUUCUAGCAUUGCUAAAUACUACUAAAUAACACAAUUCAUUCAUCUUAAUUUCUUCAAGGUUUCAAUAAAGUUUCCUGGAGCAGCCCAAUCCAUCAAUAUUGGCAUUGUCAACUGAAUAUUUAUGAUGUAAUAAUGCACAUAAAUCGAAUGUGGGAGCAUCUGAAUGCAUAAACCUAAUAAGAUAACAGGCAAUGCUAGAAUCACAGCUCGCAAAUUGCUAUUGGCAACGUACAGCACUGGAGCACUAUUGACAAAGUGCUUCAGAGACUCUAAUUUGUUGCCUUCUACACGUGCCAGAGAAAAAGCAACCAGCAUAAGAUUUAUAUAAGACAGAAUUGGAUGAAACUCUGCUGCCAUAUACAUAAAUUAACGAGACUAAAGUCUUGGCUAUUCAGUAGGAAUAAUGAUAAGAGUACAUCAUUUGAAUGAAUGUCGCAAAUUUAUCUAUAUAUAUUAAGCAACUUCAGAAUUAUUGGACUAAUAACUCAAUGGUUGAGUAGAAGUAUCCUAUGCAGGAAUGCAGAGAUCAAAGAUUCAAUCCUGAAACCCAACCAAAAUUAAAAUAAAAAGACAACUUCAGGAAAAAUCUAAGCUUACCUGACAUGCCGACCAUCCCCAUAUGCAUCUUUCACAGUGACUGAUUCUGCAUUUAGUUCCUCCUUAAUCUUUUUUUCCAUGGACUGCAUAAGAGGAGAGUCAAUAGACCCGGCAUCAUUGACAUUGGUGGCUCUAACAGUGAAUCUACGGUUACCCACGAGACCAAACCCUAAUUUUGAUAACUUAUAGCCAUCGCUCUCGACUUGGAGCUUCUUUUUUCUGUCAUGGGUGCAAGCCCAAAACAAGAAGUUCGCUUCGGUUUUGUUUGGGAAGAUUGCGUUAUGUGAAAUGAAGAGUUGUGUCGGGGGUUGGAGAAGAGAUGACGAAGGGAGAGCCUGGCGAUGGAGAAGGGAGUGGUGGUGGGUAUGGGGGCGCGUGGAGGACAGAAGGUACGGUCGCCACAUUAGAGUCUUUGCCAUUUGCACUUCUUUCUCUGGAGAAAAUGGAGACUUUGCUGUGCGAG